rnacentral:lncRNA from 1 species
GCUGGGUAUCGGUCGGCGGGUGGUGAGCAAUUGUAUCCUCUCCCCUUGUUAUUUCACUAAUCGUUAUUAUCAUUGGUGAUAGCAGUAGUGGUUUUGUGUUAUACCUUAGUUGCGGGACUGCUCUUAUCUCAACCCGUGGGAGUUGCAUUCUUCCCAUUCUCCUCCCCAUCCCUCCGGGAGCGGGGGGAGGAAGAAGGGGGGGGGGGGGAGUGAGCGAGCGGCUGUGUGGUUCUGAGUUACCGGCUGGGCUCAAACCACGACAGUUCUUUUUGGCACCCAACGUGGGGCACGAAAGGUUGAGAUAACGACAGAUCUGACCAGAGUGUGUUUAAUCAUAUUUGUGAUAAGCAUUCAUUGUUACUACUCGUCACAAUGGUGAUUAUUUGGCUCUCAGACGUGUUGCGCUUGAUCUCAGAGUUUCAGCAUGUUGUACCUUACUUACAGCCACUAUUUGCUGUUUUAGCGUUUAUGGGCUGGGGGGCCUGGGCUAAGGUUCUUGUUUCACUGUACUUCAUGGUAAUGACUUGUAAUACAAUAGACUCAUUGAUCAUGAAACUGGUCUGGUUUGUGCUUCCAGCGUGGCCAUCACCACUAUACAUUGGGAGGUAUAUAAUGAAAUAUUUUAGCAAUUGCAUAUCUUUUUUUUUCUCCUCGGGGGGUAAACUUACGAAGGAAGCAUUCUCUUUCACCCCCCGUUCCCCCACCAGCCUAUUUGCAACAGCAAUUGAGAGUUCUGAAGGUUUUAGAUGGCCUUUGAGUACCCUUGAAACCUGCCUGCUGAUUGUGCUGGGGAUCAGCAUGUUGGCAAACAUACGGAGUGUGUUUUACCCACGGCCAUCCCGUCGUAGGAACAUCCUAUUUCGUUUAAUGUCAAAAAUUCAGCAGUAUCAGGUUCGAAUCUGGUCUAGGGUUAGACGACGAUAUAGGAGGACCACCAGGAGAUUUUCCCUGAGGCUGGACAGUUAUGAGUGGCAGGGUGUGUGGGAUAGUAUGGGCAAGUACCUAGGCCAGUGGGCCCCUCCAGUGCUUUGGAACUUCACCACUGAACAAGUGCAACAUCCGGAAAAACUAGUAAAACACUUAAACGAGGUGUGCUGUCGUCCUGGUUAUACCAGAGAGGGACAAAUUUUGGCAACGUGCUGGGGCUUGGCCUAUGCCUACAGAGCCCUGCUCAACACUAUCCAGCACCUUCAAAGGGAAAAAAAUGUCUCUGGAUCUGAUGGCAAAGCAACAGACAACGCAGCUAUGCCAACUACAAGCACAGCAGCUACUCAGACCCUGACCACAACAGUCAACACAGCUACUCCAAGUACAGCAGCUACAUCAACCCCAGUGACAAGCACAACAGCUACUCAAACCCUGACCACAACAGACAACGCAACUACUCCAACUUCAAAUACAGCAGUUACACCAACCCCAGUGACAAGCACAACAGCUACUCAAACCCCGACAGCAACAGACAAUGUGGCUACUCCAAGCACCACAGCCACACCAACCCCAGUGACAAGCACAGUAGCUACUCAAACCCCGACAGCAACAGACAAUGUGGCUACUCCAAGCACCACAGCUACACCAACCCCAGUGACAUGCACAGUAGCUAUUCAAACCCCGACAGCAACAGACAAUAUGGCUACUCCAAGCACUGCAGCUACACCAACCCCAGUGACAAGCACAGUAGCUACUCAAACCCCGACAGCAACAGAUAAUGCAGCUGUUGGUGUUACUCAACUCCCAAGCACAACAG